GAUGAACGCUGGCGGUAUGCUUUACACAUGCAAGUCGUACGAAAGUUUUUAACUUUAGUGGCGGACGGGUGAGUAACACGUGAGAAUUUACCUUUAGGAGGGGAAUAACAGUUGGAAACGACUGCUAAUGCCGCAUAUAAUUAGUAAUAAUGAAGAAGUAAUUCGCCUAAAGAAAAGCUUGCGUCUGAUUAGCUAGUUGGUAAGGGUAAUGGCCUACCAAGGCGACGAUCAGUAGCUGGUUUGAGAGGAUGACCAGUCACACUGGAACUGAGGCACGGUCCAGACUCCUACGGGAGGCAGCAGUGGGGAUUUUCUGCAAUGGGCGAAAGCCUGACAGAGCAAUACCGCGU
rnacentral:rRNA from 1 species